rnacentral:rRNA from 1 species
GACGAACGCUGGCGGCGUGCUUAACACAUGCAAGUCGAACGGAAAGGCCCUGCUUUUGUGGGGUGCUCGAGUGGCGAACGGGUGAGUAACACGUGAGUAACCUGCCCUUGACUUUGGGAUAACUUCAGGAAACUGGGGCUAAUACCGGAUAGGAGCUCCUGCUGCAUGGGGGGGGUUGGAAAGUUUCGGCGGUUGGGGAUGGACUCGCGGCUUAUCAGCUUGUUGGUGGGGUAGUGGCGUACCAAGGCUUUGACGGGUAGCCGGCCUGAGAGGGUGACCGGCCACCUUGCGACUGAGAUACGCCCCAGACGCCUACGGGACGCAGCAGUGGGGAACAUUGCGCAAUGGGCGGACGCCUGAUGCAGCAACGCCGCGUGCGGGAUGACGGCCUUCGGGUUGUAAACCGCUUUCGCCUGUGACGAAGCGUGAGUGACGGUAAUGGGUAAAGAAGCACCGGCUAACUACGUG